UACGUAGGGUGCGAGCGUUGUCCGGAAUUAUUGGGCGUAAAGGGCUCGUAGGCGGUUUGUCGCGUCGGGAGUGAAAACCUCGGGCUUAACUCGGGGCUUGCUUUCGAUACGGGCAGACUGGAGGUAUGCAGGGGAGAACGGAAUUCCUGGUGUAGCGGUGAAAUGCGCAGAUAUCAGGAGGAACACCCGUGGCGAAGGCGGCUCUCUGGGACGGUACUGACGCUGAGACGCGAAAGCGUGGGGAGCGAACAGG
rnacentral:rRNA from 1 species